UACGUAGGGGGCAAGCGUUGUCUGGAUUCAUUGGGCGUAAAGCGCGUGUAGGCGGCCAGGUAGGUCCGGUGUGAAAACUCGAGGCUCAACCUCGAGAGGUCAUCGGAAACCAUCUGGCUAGAGUCCGGAAGAGGAGAGUGGAAUUCCCGGUGUAGCGGUGAAAUGCGCAGAUAUCGGGAAGAACACCUAUGGCGAAGGCAGCUCUCUGGGACGGUACUGACGCUGAGACGCGAAAGCGUGGGGAGCGAACAGG
rnacentral:rRNA from 1 species